GUGGUAUUGUAGGGCAGACGUCUCUUCGUAAUUUUUAGGAAAGGGAGGUCAGUCACUAGUCGUUAACAGGGAGGAGAGGAGCACUUCCGCAGGCCCAGAGGGCUCAGGAAAAUCUGGGUACUCGUGAUUUUUUAAUGUAUCAACUCAGAUAUCCCCACCCCAUAUCUUAGGUUUCCAUUACUUCCCAAUCAGGGUCCUGACCUUGGAGUAGUAAAUGGGCCAACGAAGUGAGAACAAAACCUCUCCUUGAGUUCUGAUACUCUCAAAUUAAGUCCUGGAUCUAAUCCCAAAUUUUUCUUGUCCUCUGGUUGUAAAAGAUGACAGUCAUUUUUAUACACUGCUGAGGAGGCCCCCGCUUGGACACAAACACUUUAAUUGGUGAUUAAUCACUCAGCUGUUUACUGUCUGCCCCUAAAUCAUUGAUUGAUCCCAGCAAUGUGCAUCCAAAUAGCUGACAUAUUGCAUCAGCCUGUGUGUUCCCUUCCACGAGUCCACAGGCCCAGAUCUCCACUGGUGAAAGUUUUAACAAUUGGACUGCUACCUAUGCGAGGAGCCUUCCAUGCUUCCCCUACCAGUGAGGGGGUCCUUACGGCAGGCAGGCCAACUCUUCAUCCUUAUACAAAAUCCCACUUCAGAGUCUCCUUCCUCAGACCACACCGGGGUCUUGGGCAGCAGAAUCUGAGACAGAGAAUCAGGUGCAGGAAGUUCAUUGGAGAGUGUGUGAGUUCAACCUCUAGAGGGAAUGAAUGAAGCAAGAUUGGGCUCCUGGAGAAGGUGACUACAACACUCUUGCAACAAAAGCCUCAGCCACUUCUAAGGCCUUUAACGUCUUAAUUGACCAAUCGUUGGACACAGGUAAGGGGCGGUGAGCCUCUGGUGAGAGGACCGUCUUCAAUGAAAGGCAAUUACUGGAGACAGGUGCAACUGAGAACUGUUGGUCAUCAACACACCCAGUAAGUGAAGAGUGAGCGCUUCUAUCCUGGAGCAGGAUCUGGGCCAGCACCCAGCACUUUCAAACAUUCAGUGAGAGUGAAGAGGGACCCCAUUCCUGACCUGUGGAGUGACGAGGAAGGCACUGGAUGUUCUCUCCAGGAGAGAGGUUCAGUGACCUUAGGGAAUGGCUGACGACCAGAGGAUACCUGGAAAGGUCGGUGCCGGGGCUGUGGUUUCGUCUAUGUGCCAUGAAGAAGGAACUAUGCUUUGUCAAACUCAUCUUGCCUCCUUGAUGAUCAGAGGCCUGGCUUGGCACUGAAGACAGAAAUCUAAGACGGUCCCACGCCAUUGAGUCAGCAAUAUAGUCAACCUCACCUUCCCAGGCGUUUAGUUGCAAGAGACUAAAUGUGAAACUUCUAUAAUAAAAAGUAGCAGCAGAAUUGCUAUUUUUACUCAACCUUUACAUAACUUGAGAAUUCUCAGUCUCUAAAUCUCGGCUGUUUCUAAGUGUGGCAGGCCUCCAAGGAGAGCUUUCACGUCAGUAGUUCUGGUGGGGCUGAGUAAUGUCCCUUGAAGUUGUCUCUGGUUUUCUCAAUGGGCCACUGCUGGCCUCGCAAGGAAUCCUGGGGAGAAGUCAGGCUGUGUAUAAGACAGGGCAAGGAGGAUGGUGUGCGCUCCUAAACUGAACUCUAGAUGUACCAGAAAGAAGGGGCAGAUUAUCCAACCACUAUCCUAGACGUGGAAGACCGUGGAACCAAAAAUAAUUAGGAAAGCGACAGCAAAGCAGUAAAUAAAACUAGAUGUCAUAAUUCAUUAUCCCUUUGGACUAAAUGGGCUUUAAAACGUCCAGAAAGUCUCAUCAAAGUUCACAAGUAAAAGUAAAGGGUUAUUGCAAAGAGCAAAGGAGAUAAUGGACAUGAAAAUACUUUGUAAAUUGCGAAGGUUAUUCUAGAGGUUCCCACUGGAGUUCUGGAUUCCCAGGAUACACAGCAACCAGCUGUAUGGGACUUUGGAAGAUAAUGGUCACCCUCUCCCCUUUGGCCUCCUCUUUCCUUUUCCACUCUAAACUACAGCUGUCUCAGGCAAUGACUACAGAUUCUGCUUUGGGAUUUAGAUUCGGAGGAAAAGGGAGGAGGGAGAAAUAAAAAGAUUAUGAAAUUCGGCCAAAAGAAUAAGAAAGGGUAAAAUCAGGGGAAAUUCACCUGUCUGAUGCAAAGUUAAACUGCUGGCUUUAAUGUGACUGCAUGGGAACUUGGGUUUAUUAAUGAAUACAACAUACCCUCUUUGAUUUGAAAGCUUUCACCCUGCUGAAAAGAUUCAAAAGGCAUCGCUUCCUGCACCAGCGGCAUUCCUUUAUCCGUCUCAGUGGUUCACCCCUACCCAGCUGCUAUAUCUCAUUAACAAGCAUUUGACCACUGCAGCCGGCCUGGGAGUGUUGACACUUGAAAGGCCCAGGCAGGCGUGGGCAGGCCAUCAGCUAUGGCAACAGGAAACUGCCCCGGAGACAACACUGAGAAAACAGCAGCUGCAAGAGCCAAAGUCAGAACAGACAUAAAGGGUUGCCUAUAUCCACGUCGGUCUGGGGUAUCGGUGCGUGCCUGUGGGCCUGAAUUCACACGUCUAUUUACUAUAUUUAUGGGAUAUAAAGGUUGCUAUCAACAUGUCUCUAACACUGGACUUGCUGACAACACAGAAUGAUUUUUUGACUUUCAGUGUUCUCGAAUCCUCAGGUUUCCAGAAUCUUCCUCAUCUCCUUUUAAUGUAACUUCUUGUUUAUGCACAUAAGGACGUUCACUAGAGGCCUUAAACUUGAUAGACACGUUCACUCUGGUGAAAGUCACAGUGACAAUAAAAAAUAUAUAUGCCUGAAUCCUUACCCAUUUUUCAUGCUACCACAUUAUUUUUAAAAACAAGUCAACUUGUAAAACUGUCACAUAAAUACGUAAGAUUACUCUGAAAGUCUUUGGCUUAGGAAUCAAACUGUGAUGGUUUUAUGUAGAAUAUUUAAGAAUGAAACAGUCAUUUCAAUUGUGUAAAGGUAGCUCAUAAAAUUGUGGGAUGUUCCACUUAUUAUUGAUCAUAAUAAUUUCAAAUACCUAUGUUAAUAAAAUUCAUUUACUAUUCUUUGAAUUGUAGGCUACACAGCAUCACACCCUUGAAUCUACUUCUAAAUGUUGUUUCUAUAUUCAUCUGAGGAGCUCAAAGUACACAUACCAAUUGGAAUGUUUCAUGCAAUGUUUGGGGCAAGUAUUUCUCCAAAUCUGGUGUGUCUCUGUCCAAGCCUAUAAGAGCGUUUUUAGAGGAUAGGUAAGCAAUAGUUCAAAAUCAAAGUUUUUCAUCCAGAAGGAAAAUGACCCUUUUCAAAACAGGAAAAAGAGGUCACUCCAUAUUAGGGGAGAAAAGAAAGCUAAAUGAAAAAAGACACUAAUACAAUGUGUUAUAAGUGAAAGUAGUUGACUGCCACUCAAAGACUAGUGAAUUAUUUUCCUGUCAUCAUCAGUACAAUAGACUAUUAGUGGUUAUUACACUGACAUGCUAAUAAAUGACUAGUACUUUAAUAAGACUACUAAUACUUUUAUUCUUUUCAAUAAUUUAGAUUUAUUUACAUUUGUCUAUCAGUCAUCAUAAAAACUACCCUAAUUUAUUCGCAUUGUUACACUAAAAUGGUUAAUUAGAUAAAAAGCAUGUGAAUUUCUUUAAAAUUAUUGCCUAUUAACUCUUUUUUUUGCCAGAAAAUGUUUCUUGAGUACAGUGAGUUUCCAACUCUAUCUUCAUCCAUGUAUUUUUUUUCUUUCGCCUUUUAUGCUCCAGGAGAAGAGACGAAUGUACCAACCGCCACUGGAAAUUUAUAUUCUUGAUGAUAUGGUAGAUACAGAAACAUCCUCCUGAGGGUCAUUAAAA
ensembl:lncRNA